CUGACCGGUGAUGAGAAGUCUGGGGUGUCUGAAUCAAUGAUUUUGAUUAAACCCUGUAAACUCUGAGGUCCAC